UUCCUUCAUGACUUAGGUAAUGCCGUUUUGCUACGAAAACAGUGUCGCGUGAGUUGAGUAAGACUAUUAUUCUUACAAUUUUACAUACAGAAAUUACACUAUUUUGUAUUAUUCCGAAUACAUCUAACAGAACUGACACUGUAGAGAGAUAUAGUUCUUCGUUAGGGGCGUGAACUGGCUCAUUCAUUCCUGAGAGCCACCUUUUCAGACAGGGGAGCGCUAACAAAGAAAUAUCAGGAUCCAAGCAGUUAUUUACUGGUAACGUUCUUCGCUAUUUCCCCCUGGUGUAUAUAGUUUACUAUUUAUUUUUCGCCGUAUUUCGAUCAGUAAGCGAUCGACUGAGGCUAUCUUUUAUCGUUGCUAAGCAAUAUAUUUGUUAUUCGCGAACGCACGCGCUAGCUGGUAAGGCAAACGCGCGCACGCCCAAAAGUUCACGUUACCGCAUUUGUUUCGCGAGGUAGAUUGAGAAGAGAUGGCGGAUAUGUACAUUCGCGUCGCGGAGGAGGAAAAUGAGGAGCCGAUGGAGAUCCCGUCGGAGGACGACGGCACGGUGCUGCUGUCCACAGUGGCCGCUCAGUUUCCAGGGGCGUGCGGCCUGCGCUUCCGGAGCCCAGUGUCACAGUGCAUGAGGGGAGUGCGCUUGGUGGACGGAGUUCUGCACGCGCCCGAGAACGACUGGGGAAACCUGGUUUAUGUGGUCAAUUAUCCCAAAGAAACCAUCCUCCCAGAUAAUAAGAGGAAGAUGGAUGAGAUUGAUGCCUCAUCAGCAACAAAGAUCAAGAGAGGGGACCAGAAAACCUCAGAUCUGAUUGUGUUGGGUUUGCCAUGGAAAACUACAGAACAAGACCUAAAAGACUACUUCAAUACGUUUGGGGAAGUCAUCAUGGUGCAGGUCAAACGGGACGUGAAGACUGGUAAUUCGAAAGGAUUUGGUUUUGUGAGGUUUGCCGAGUGGGAGACUCAAACCAAGGUGAUGUCACAGAGGCACAUGAUUGAUGGCAGGUGGUGUGACUGCAAACUGCCCAACUCAAAGCAAGGUCCCGAUGAGCCAAUGAGGAGCCGGAAAGUGUUUGUGGGCCGUUGCACAGAAGACAUAUCUGCUGAUGAGCUCCGUCAGUUCUUCUUGCAGUACGGGGAGGUCACAGAUGUCUUCAUUCCAAAACCUUUUAGAGCAUUCGCUUUCGUCACCUUUGCUGAUGACCAGGUUGCCGCCUCACUGUGCGGAGAGGAUCUGAUCAUCAAAGGAGUCAGCGUGCACAUUUCCAACGCUGAACCAAAACACAACAACACUAGGCAGAUGAUGGAGCGAGCGGGGCGCUUUGGGAACGGGGUCGGAGGUCAGAGUUUCGCAGGCAGCCGGAGUGGCAUGGGGGGUAGCUCCAGCAGCUUGGGGAAUUUUGGCAAUUUUAACCUCAACCCGGCCAUGAUGGCUGCCGCCCAGGCUGCCCUGCAGAGCAGUUGGGGCAUGAUGGGAAUGUUAGCUCAGCAGAAUCCGUCCACAACAUCUGGCACAGGCGGCACAAGUUCCACUCGGGACCAGACCCAAACAUACAGCUCAGGCAACAGCAACUACAGCGGCAGCUCAGCCGCUCUCGGGUGGGGCUCCGCCUCCAACUCUGGCACUAGUGGUAGUGGGUUUAACUCGAGCUUUGGUUCUAGUAUGGAUUCAAAGUCAUCAGGGUGGGGUAUGUAAGUUGCGUUCUGUUUUUGAUUUUGAAGUGUUGGUAUUUCUAGUGUGUUUGGUAAGUAUUUUUCGAGAGACAUAUCUCUUCACGUGUGUUUGGGGAGUGGAGAUGGAUGAAAGAGGAAGCUGGGGACAUAAAAAAACAAAAUGUUUUGUACAUUAAAUGCAGUUUAAUUUAGUGUUUGGAGUGAGAUGUUAACCAGGAUGUUGCAAGAAUGUACCAUCUUUGGUGUUACGUUUUUCCCCCCAAUGUUGUAUUGUCUUAGUUGAUGCAAAGAAAGCAUUUCAACUGGAUUCUUAUAAUGCAUGUUGUUCAAUCUGAUUAUCUGAGUUUCAUCGUCUUUAAAAUACCGUUAUCAUUAUGUUGGAAGAAAGAAACUUGCAUUUCGAAAGAAUCUGGUUGAAACCUGAAAAUAUUUAAGUUCAGCUUUAAUGCAGUCCAGUUGUUUGGAAACACCUUAAAACAAGCCUUCAUCAUAAUCUCUUCUGCAGUUGACAUCUGUGGGGUUUGCCUGGGAAGAGCGCCCUCUAUGGCAGCACAGUGUGGCUGAGGUCAUUAGGUCACCUGCCUCCCCAUGUCUAUAUGCUCUCAUCGCACGGCUUGAUGACACGGUGGGUGUCUCCUUUUUAAUCCACUUUUUAUGACAAGAACUGCGCAGAAAGUGACUUUUUUUUUUUUAAACAACCCUUGAGUGCGAUUGGUGAUGGCGAAGAGUGAGAAGGCUGCGAGUGAGCGAAGAAAGUGUGGAGCGCACGAACGGAAAGAAUUGCGAGUGCGAUGAAAGAGAGCCCAAUUGUGACAGCAGUGGGUGGCUUUGGUGAGCGUGUGAAUGAGAGCUGCUAAUACUUCCCAGCUUCCCCUUAAUUGAGCCCAAAUAAUGGACAUUUAGUUCACGUGUGUACCUUAAAAGAUUUUUUUUUUCUCCCUAGGUCCCGUUUUACUUUUCUCCUUUAGAAUACUGACAAUGUGCUUAAGUAGUUAGUGGAAUGUUGUGAUGAUGAUGAUGAUGAUGCAUACUUUGUGUCUUGCUUCUAUUAUCCCAUCUGAAUGCUGUAUGGUGUGUGUGUGUGUGCUUUAUUUCCUUGUAACUUGACCUGUAAGCGUGAACUUUGUGGAUGACAUCUUCAGUGGACACUGAGGGGGCAAAACAUGAGUGAUGGUGGGCCUGGAAUAUGGCUGGCAGCAACAGAACCCCAGGCGGGAAGUCCGUUUGGGGAUGAAGGAAGAUGGAGGAGGCUGUGGUACCCCAUUACAACAUUAGCAUCUCUGGUAACGGUCAUGGACACGGUAGAAUGUUACAGAAUUGAUAGAUGACUCAAGAUGGGCUGCUUUCUCAGAACAAGUCUAAGCCUAAUGAAGAACCAGUCCCUCUAAACCUUGAUGGUAUUAGGCUAGAGCUGGGGCUGGACUCACAAAACAUUUAUGAAUGUGAGUGUUUACUGUACAUGCACACCAAUACACUGUUAACUGCCAAAAUCUGUUGAUUCAUAAACAUUUUCACAUGAGACUUGAUGACAUCAAAACAUAAACGGUCAUGCGCAAAACACUUGCACACAUUGGGUAAGCUGGUAAGGAUGCCGGUAAAGGUGUUUACGUGCAAAGCAAAAUUGUUUUUUGAUUAAACUUGUCCGUACCAAGAUAAAAGAAAGCAGUAUAAGGCACUUCACUGACCUUACACAUUUUGGGUUUAUUAAAAAAUAAUCUGUGUAAUCUUGUAAACAUGCUUAUUCUUAAGAAUUUUCUAAUUUAAGGAAAAGGUUAAGAAUAUUUUGUAAUCACAAAACAUUUGCAUGUUUUCCUAUAUAUACACACACCGGUCAGCCACAACAUUAAAACCACCUGCCUAAUAUUGUGAGGGUCCCCCUCGUGCUGCCAAAACAGCACCAACCCACAUCUCAGAAUAGCAAUCUGAGACAGAGACUGAAUCUGAGUUACCAUAGACAUUGUCAGGUCAAAACUGUCUGGCCAUUCUCUGUUGUCCUCUCAUCAACAAGGCAUUUCCGUCCAUAGAACUGCUGCUCACUGGAUGUUUUUUGUUUUUGGCACCAUUUGGAGUAAAUUCUAGAGACUGAUGUGCAUAAAAAUCCCAGGAGAUCAGCAGUUACAGAAAUACUCAAACCAGCCCAUCUGGCACCAACAAUCACGCCACGGCCUAAAUCACUGAGAUCAUGUUUUUCCCCAUUCUGAUGGUUGAUGUGAACAUUAACUGAAGCUUCUGACCCGUAUCUGAAUGGUUUUAUGGACUGCAGUCACACGAUUGGCAGAUUAGCUAAUCGCAUGGAUGAUUGUUGGUGCCAGACGGGCUGGAUUGAGUAUUUCUGUAAAUGCUGAUCUCCUGGGAUUUUCACACACAACAGUCUCUAGAAUUUACUCCGAAUGGUGCCAAAAACACCUUGUUGAUGAGAGAGGUCAACAGAGAAUGGCCAGACUGGUUCAAACUGACAAAGUCUCCGGUAACUUAGAUAACCGCUCUAUAAUUGCGGUGAGAAAAAUAUAUUCUCAGAAUGCUAUUCUGAGAUGCGGGUUGGCGCUGUUUUGGCGGCACGAGGGGGGCCUACACAAUAUUAGGCAGGUGGAUUUAAUGUUAUGUCUGACCGGUGUAUAUACUCUUGCACAAAAGAACAUUCUUACAAACACCUAUUUUGUCUUUAGAAUUUUUUUCUUUAAAAGUUUUUGUGAAUCUGGCCCCUGGUUUCAAGAAAGUAGCUCAUUGUACUUAAAGAGAGAGUUCACACAAAAAUGAAAAUUCUCAUCAUUUGCUCACCCUCAUGGUAUCCCUGAUGCACAUAACUUUCUUCUGCAGAACACAAAGAUUUGUAGAAGAAUAUCUCCGCUCUGUAGGUCCACACAAUGCAAAAGCACAUAAAGGCAGCAUAAAAGUAAUCCUUAAGGCUCCAGUGGUUUAAUCCAUGUCUUCUGAAGUGAUCCAAUUGUUUUUGGAUGAGAACAGACCAAAAAAUAACUCCUUUCUCACUACAAGUCAUGACAUCAGCAGUUUGCUUGGUGUUCCUGAUUUCAAGCUCGAUUACACUUUCUGCGCAUGUGUCAAGCACAAGGAAGUGUAAUCAAACUUGAAAUCAUGAUCGUGUCAAGAUACUGCAAUGGCAAGAUGUUCAGUGAAAAAAAAAGUCUGCUCACACCCAAAAUCAAUUAGUUCACUUCAGAAGAUAUGGAUUAAACCACUAGAGUCUUUUGGAUUGCUUUUAUGCUGCCUUUAUGUGCUUUUUGGAGCUUCAAAGUUUUGGUCACAAUUUACUUGCAUUGUGUGGACCUACAGAGCUGGAAUAUUCUUUAGAAAUCUCAAUUUGUGUGCUGUAGAGGACAUACACAUCUGGGAUGGCAUGAGGGUGAGUGAGUAUUUUAUUUUUGGGUGAAAAUAUUACUUUAAAUUCAGAUAUAGGUUAUUCAGUAUCCAUGUAUGAAAUGUUUCUAUUAAAAUAUUUUCACAUUACAAAUCUGCACUGUUUUAUUCUGCUUCAUAUUCCAAAGAAAGAAAAAAAAUGUUUUCCAUAUAUUACAAUAAAAUAUACAACUGAA